GCAGAGCAAGUUAGAGAUUCUUAGAGCUUGGUGUUUUAUCAGGUACGAGGGUACAAGGAUGUACCCGAGAGGCAUAACCGCACCCGGAUGGUGCGUUUAUGCCGGUACCGUAAAUUUCAUAUAUGUAAAGUAUCAAGCUCUUAGAAACUCUUAU
rnacentral:ncRNA from 1 species